rnacentral:misc_RNA from 1 species
GAUGAAGAACGUAGCGAAAUGCGAUAAGUAGUGUGAAUUGCAGAAUUCAGUGAAUCAUCGAAUCUUUGAACGCACAUUGCGCCCCUUGGUAUUCCAUGGGGCAUGCCUGUUCGAGCGUCAUUUGUACCUUCAAGCUCUGCUUGGUGUUGGGUGUUUGUCUCGCCUCUGCGUGUAGACUCGCCUCAAAACAAUUGGCAGCCGGCGUAUUGAUUUCGGAGCGCAGUACAUCUCGCGCUUUGCACUCCUAACGACGACGUCCAAAAGUACAUUUUUACACUCUUGACCUCGGAUCAGGUAGGGAUACCCGCUGAACUUAAGCAUAUCAAUAAGCGGAGGA